rnacentral:rRNA from 1 species
GUAAACAAUAAGGGCGUACGGAGGAUGCCUUGACACUAAGAGGCGAUGAAGGAGGUGGCGUGACUGCCUUAAGCUUCGGGGAGCCGUCUAGCGGGCUUUGAUCCGGAGAUUUCCGAAUGGGGAAACCCAGCACAGUAAACCUGUGUUAUCUCGCGCAAGCGAGAUGCGUACCCGGUGAAGUGAAACAUCUCAGUAACCGGAGGAAAAGAAAUAGAAUAGAUCCCCUUAGUAGCGGCGAGCGAAAAGGGAACAGCCUAAACCUGUUGUUGGUUAGCAAUAAUUAAUGACGGGGGUUAUAGGGACAGUACAUUUUUUAAAUCAUGUAACAUGAAACAUGUAACAAUAAUAUGUUGCGUGUCGCGUGUUAUAUGAUUUGAAAUAGAAAGUUACAAAUCCGAGUGUUAGCAGAACGGCCCUGGAACGGCCGACCAAAGAAGGUGAUAGUCCUGUAAGCGAAAACAAUCGGACUUUCGUAUUGUUACCUGAGUAGCCCGAGAUAAGAAUGUCUUGGGUGAAUUUGUCCAUACUACUGGAUAAGGCUAAAUACUCUUAGUGAUCGAUAGUGAACAAGUACCGUGAGGGAAAGGUGAAAAGCACCCCGGUGAGGGGAGUGAAAUAGUAACUGAA